rnacentral:rRNA from 1 species
UACGUAGGGGGCAAGCGUUAUCCGGAUUUACUGGGUGUAAAGGGAGCGUAGGCGGUCAGACAAGUCAGAAGUGAAAGCCCGGGGCUCAACUCCGGGACUGCUUUUGAAACUGCCUGACUAGAUUGCAGGAGAGGUAAGUGGAAUUCCUAGUGUAGCGGUGAAAUGCGUAGAUAUUAGGAGGAACACCAGUGGCGAAGGCGGCUUACUGGACUGUAAAUGACGCUGAGGCUCGAAAGCGUGGGGAGCAAACAGG